rnacentral:lncRNA from 1 species
GUAAGUUUAAACAGAAAAAAACUAAAGCCAAGCACUCUUCACCAAAGUCAGUUUAAAAUAAGGAUGAUUAUACACUGCUUGAUACAACUAAUUUUAGCAUCUGUGCGGGUGUGCGUGUGUGUCUGAUAAAAGGGAGGCCCGGCAAAAUCUCUCCACAUUUCAUGUCCUCAAAAUAAAGAGACUGUAAAGAUAACAGACAGUGAAGGGCCCUGAGGAGUCUUGAUGUCGUGUAGUCAGAGAUGAACACCACUAGUCAUUUGAUAGCAAGACAAUGUGUCCUAAGAGAAAGCUGGUAUCUUUAUUUGAGCUCUUCUUUGGGAACUAUUAAUACAGUAAAAGCCGGAUUGUACAAAGAAGAUACCAAAAUAAAGUUUAACAAGGGCUGGAACAAGGCAAUAAAAAAACUGUCACCCAGUUAAAUAUCUACUUAC